AUGCUUUGACAACACAUAUACCAAAAAUUGAAUGAUAUAGACAAGAUUAGCAUGGCCCAUGUACAAGGAUGGCAUGCAGAUUUGUGAAGGGUUUCUUUUUUUU